rnacentral:tRNA from 1 species
CCGUAGCUCAGGGGAUAGAGCAACGGCCUCCGGAGCCGUGUGCGCAGGUUCGAAUCCUGCCGGGGGCACUCCA